UCGAGCCGUGUGCGGUGAAAGUCGCACGCACGGUUCCUAGGGGGGAGGAUUCCAGUAAUGGAGUCUUCCUACCCUCC
rfam:Duganella sacchari strain Sac-22 genome assembly, contig: Ga0075198_106